rnacentral:lncRNA from 1 species
AACUAUCUUUUUUUCCAUCCUUACAAAACUGGAAUCUUAGGUCAUUUAAGAUAUCCUUUUCCUUAGACAAGUUGCUAGUCUUUGGAGAUCUUGUCAGUAACUAGUUGGUAUAACUAUUUUAUACUGUUAGAUCAUUUGUGAAUUUUGAAUUGUUUACAAACUAUUGCUUUUUUUUUUUUUUUUGGUUUUUUGAGACAGGGUUUCUCUGUGUAGCCCUGGUUGUCCUGGAACUCACUCUGUAGACCAGGCUGACCUCCAACUCAGAAAUCCACCUGCCUCUGCCUCCCAAGUGCUGGGAUUAAAGGCAUGUGCCACCGCUGCUCGGUGCUAUUUUUUUUAAGUAAUAAAUUUUUUAAGGUAAUUUUUUAAAGUAAUAAAAUUAAUUGGUUACAUGGGUAUGUGUGUGGGGGGGUUCUUCACUUAGUAUAAGAAUUUGACCUUGAUGAGAUGGUAAAUUUAGUCAUUAGUUAAAAGUAGAGGUCAAGGCAUAAGCCAGAGAACUUCAGAGAUGGCUCAGCAAUUAAGAGCACUUGUUACUCUUGCAGAGAGAACCUCACCCCAGUUCCAGGUGACAUAGCAGGCAUGAAUGUUAUGUACAUAUAUGCAUGUAGACAAAGCAUUCACACACAUAAAGUAAAAUAAAAAACAAAACUCCAAAAUAUAAGAAUGGCUAAUUUUUUAAAAACAGAACAGAGUGUGACUUAGUGCUGUAGCAUCUGUGGGAGUGUACCCUGCUCUUUGAAGGUGUCCCCACCACAGGAUGCUGUUACCCAGGUGCCAUGCUCACCUUUGCUUUUUUACUUUAGAUUGUGAGUGGUUCUGAAUUACUAUUUGAAACUGGAGUGUCUGUGAAUUAAUUAGAUGUUCUAAUCUUUAGUUUUUUCUUUCUGCACUGUUUCAUACCUCAAGUGAUUGCUGAUGCUAGUGUGUGACCAGAAGUGAUUGAAAGGAGAUUUCCUCAGCAGAUUAUCCAGUCUUCUUCCUCUCCAAAUCAUAUUUAUUUAUUUAAGGUUUUUUUUUUUCUUUUUUGGGAGGUGGGGGGCUCAUGCCAUGGUGUUUAUGGAUAGAAGUCUAAGACAAUUGAAGGGAUGGAUUUUCUUUCUACUGUGUGGGUCCAUGGGAUUGAACUCAGGUCUUUAAGUUUGGCAGUAAUUGCCUCUACCAGUGAACCGUCUUUCAGGCCUAAGUUUCUGUAUUCUUGUUGUGACUGAGGAUUUCUAUUCAGGAAAGGUGAAGGAAGUUUUGGGAGAAGCCCAGACUAGGUUCUUGGCUGGGACCCUCUCCCUGUUCCCACCCAGGAGUUGUGAUCUGACCAUUUAACCUCCUAUACUAAGAAUGAACAGUGAAUGUAUCUCAAUAAGGAGGCGCUAUUAAUGUUGCUGGGAUUCAACUUCACAUCUACAGUAGUGGAGUUUGGAAACCAGCCUACUAAUCUGUUUUCAUGACCUUGACAUCAUUUUCCCUGGUAUCCAGUAAAAGUAUUUAAUGUCUGUUUGCUAGUGUACUCUCUGACUACAAAGACAGAAUUAUCUUCUUUGUUACAUGGAGUCACUGCUGCUGGGAUUUCUUGCUGAAUCAGCUGAUACAGGAAGCCAGAAAGAUAUGCAUUUGAUAAUGCAUGGUUGUUCUAGGGCGAGCUGUGUGUACUUCUGUAACAAGAAAGGUGUACUCUCUUUUCCUUUGGCUGGAGUGCAGUCAGCCUCCUUUCUGCGUGCACCAUCAAAUCCCAAUCUUUUGAGUAAAACAUGGCUUAUUAGUCUGUGACCUUAACCCUGCUGUUGAUUUUUCUAGUCUGAUGCCUAAAUCAAUUAGCUACAUAAAAAGUAUUACUAGUCAACAGUAGAAAUAAAUACAGUGUUCACUAAAAUACCUACAAAAAUUUAUGCAGGGAAAAAAAUGUUAGCUGGCUUAGAUUCUGUAAACCUCCAACCCCAUUUUGAUCUUUAAAUUUAUGUUUUAACCCAACUUAUCUGAAGUUGGGCACAAUGACACACACCUAUAAUCUUAGCAUUCAGGAAGCUGAAGUAAGAGAGUUUUGUGCGUUCUAGACCAACCUGGGUUCCAAAUUGAGACCCUCCCUUAAAACAAACAACUUGUUUUUCAGUUUCCUGUCUCGACCAACUUACCCCCAUCCCCUCUCCUUGAGAGACAGUGUUUCUCUGUGUAGCUCUACUUCUCUUGGAUCUCAUUCCUGUAGACCACACUGGCCUCAAACUCAGAGAUCCACCUGCCUCUGCCUCCCAAGAGCUAGGAUUAAAGGUGUGUGCCACUGGCUCUGUUUCUUGUUGUUGUUCUGUUUUGAUACUGGAUCUCACUUUGUAGCUCUUAUUGGCCUAGAACUCUGUGUAGACCAAAUUGGCCUUGAACCCUGAAAGAUCUGCCAACCUCUGCCUUCUAAAAGUACACUAUGAAGUACACUUCUAAAAGAAGUACACCAUGGCUGACUCUGAAAAUUUUAAUGUGUGUGGGUGAUUUGGUCUACAGUAAUGUCUGUUAACUACUUGUAUGUAGUACAGGCAGAGGCCAGAAAGGGACAUCAGAUUCUGGAACUGAAUUACAAACUGUUGUCUGGAGUUAAAGUAUUGAAAGCUACCUCUGGGUACAAGGACUCAAACCUGGGUCCUUAGAAGAAUAACCAGUGUUCAUAACCAUUGAGCCAUCUCUCCAGCCCAUGAAAUUCCCCCUCCCUUUUUAAAAAUUUUCUUAAUUGCAUUGAUUGGAACUGGAGAGGUGACUUAGUGGUUAAGAACUGGCUGCUCUUAGAGAGGACCCAGUUCAGUUUCCAGCACCUAUAUUUGGCUGUUCACUACUGUCUGUAACUCCAGCUCUCUUCUCUUCUGGCUCAUAUACAUAGCAUUCGUACUCAUGUUUAUAAACAUGGAAAAUUAUAUUCAUUCACUUGUGUGAGCUCUGUAGUAGUAUAUAUUUAAUCUCAGUUGUGGGUUUCUACCCUGCCUUAGAUCAUUUAAUUCCCAGAUAAAAGACACAAAAUUUUUAUAUUUAUAAUAAGCCUUUAAUGAACUAGAGCUGGUCAGAUAUCUACCCUCUAUGCUAUUAAAAUCUACUUCCCUGUCAAUAACCUUGAGUUAAAACUUGUCAUGUUCCACCUGGGCAGCUCUUAACUCCAAUUGGUCAGCUCUUGUGGUCAUGUUUUCAUGACUCACCUAUCCCGUGGCAUGUUCUCUCUCCUAAUUGUCUCUCCUCAGACCCCAAGCCUUGGGGCAUCUUUAUUCACCAAUCAGGAAUAACUUGGGUGGCAAGGUUAUAUAGCAUCGCUUGGGUCUACACCUCAUCCCUAAGGGCAACCAGGACCAGUAUUUAGUAUUAUAAUACAUAGCAAUAGACCAAACCUCAGCUGAGUUCUGUGCACAAGUGGAGUGUAUGCGUCCCAGAGAUGGAUCUCUGUUCCUCAGGUUUGGAGGCAAGUGCCUUUAUUUGCUAAGUCAUCUCACCAGCUCUAUUUGAAGAGUUUCAAAGUAGAGUAACACUUGAGAUGAGAAGUUACUUGUAAAUAAACUGCCAUCUUUUAUAAAAACCACAGGAAGCAGGUAUAAUCAAAAUUUGUUUU